rnacentral:sRNA from 2 species
CUAUACUUGAACACAGACUUUGGAAUUGUCCAUGUUAAGUGGGGCUCACCUUUUCACAUCUCUUCAGGACAGAAAGUCAUGUUCUAUGUCU